CUUUCUUCUGAUGAGUGAACAGCCUCACCGGAACUUCCCCAUCCUCCUGGCUUGGUUCCUGAAGUGGCCCAAGGCUGCCUUCUCCCUCCCGUGGGUGAACAGGGUCACUGCUUCCUCUCUUGUCCAGGCCCCCUGGCCUGACCCUGAGUCCCGGGCGUAACGGCGUUGUUGAACCACCACAACCCCAGGCGGCGCCUUCCUCUUGGCCCAGGGGCUCUCUUGGGGACAGUGUGCAGUACUCCCCAAGGGGGCUUUGCUGUGCAAAAGCAGCCCCUGCCGAUGCUGCGGCUCCCGUGGAUGGAGCACUGCCGUGGGAACAGAGUUGGAACUCAUCCAAAAGAAUAAAAGACAACUGUGUUGGAAGAUUGCCAAGGUUUGUAGCUGUGCCACCGCAGACUUCAGAGAUGAACACUGCCUUGGAGACGAGGAGGAUUCAAGUUGCAGAAGCAUUUAGAAACCUCAAACUUGAGACACGGUGGGAAAUCAGGAAGACAUGAGGCUUUGCUCAACACUGGAGAACACCAGUUCUUUUCAGUUUGUAUGCAUCUUUAUCAGCAUGGCCAUGACGUGUGUAAGGCAUUUCCAAGGGUGAGAUUUCCUCUGAAAUGUCCAAAGAAGUCAACCGCAUUUCAAAAACUACCACAAACUAAAUUAAAAGGCAAAUAUCACAAUUUAUUCUCAUAUUAGGUUUUUGAGUGAAAGAUUGGAUUCUAAUCUCAGUUCUGCCAUUUCUUCACUGGGGGUUUUGUUUUAAUCUUAGUUUCUCCAUUUUUCCUCCCUUCCUCCCUUUCUCUCUCCUUUUCUUCUUCUCUUCCCUCCUUCCUAUGUGGUUUGGCUGUGUCCUCACCCAAAUCUCAUCUUGAAUUGUAGUUCCCAUAAUCCCCAAGUGUGGUGAGAGGGACCUAGUGGGCGGUAAUUGAAUUAUGGGGGUGGUUUCCCCCAGGCUA
rnacentral:lncRNA from 1 species